rnacentral:lncRNA from 1 species
AAACUUAACGUUUUUUCAGAUGCUAUUGGCCCUUCUCUUCCUUUUGAUAAAUUGCUUGGGGUUUGAAUUGAAUUGGUUAAGAAUAUAUCUUAGUUGAGAUUUGCAGGGUUUAGGAUGCCUUGGUGGUUUCUGAGAAGGUAGAUUAAAUAAGUAUUGGUUUUGUGGAAGAUACGCCUGGUUCUCAGAUUUCUAGCUGUUGUAAGGUAUUUGGAAGAGUGAGUUGAGUAAGCAUGAGGUCCUGAGGGCUGGUAAACAGUAUCAGCCAGAGAACCAGUAGGUGAGCUGCCUGGAUAGGAAGGGUAUGGUCACGUAGUUGGGAAGAUGCUCUUCUGGCUUUACUCUGAGAAAUAAGAAUAGCUCAUAGGGAUUAGAGAUGUGGCUCAGUUGGUAGAAUGACUGCCUAGUAUGCACAGCCCCAGGCUUUAUAACAGGACCAAAUGGGUACGACACUCCUGCCUUUGAUCCUGGCACUUACUGGGGAGGUGAAGGCUAAAGAAUCAUAAGUUGAAGUCAUCCCCAGCUGCAUAGCCAGGUGGAGGAUUAGCCUAUGAGAUCUUGUCCUGGGUGAAAGGGGAUGGAAAGGGGGGAAACCUCAUCAAUUUACUGUGUGACCUUCUAACUCCCCUUCUUUAUACAGAACUUAACCAUGUACAGUAGAAACCCUCUUUAACAUACUAUGACUUUAAAACUUGAGCUUAAAGAAGUAAGCAAUUUCUUGGGGCUGGUGAGAUGGCUUAGCGGGUGGGUAAGAACCACCUCUUCCAGAGGUCCUAAGUCCAAAUCCAGCAACUACAUGGUAGCUCACAACCACCUGGAAUGAGAUCUGAUGCCCUCUUCUGGUGUGUCUAACGUCUGCUACAGUGUACUUACAUAUAAUAAUAAAUAAAUCUUUAAAAAAAGGC